GACUUAUAUUCUGUAGCAAGGUUAACCGUAUAGGGGAGCCGGAGGGAAACCGAGUCUUAAUUGGGCGUUAAGUUGCAGGGUAUAGACCCGAAACCCGGUGAUCUAGCCAUGGGCAGGUUGAAGGUUGGGUAACACUAACUGGAGGACCGAACCGACUAAUGUUGAAAAAUUAGCGGAUGACCUGUGGCUGGGGGUGAAAGGCCAAUCAAACCGGGAGAUAGCUGGUUCUCCCCGAAAGCUAUUUAGGUAGCGCCUCGUGAAUUCAUCUCCGGGGGUAGAGCACUGUUUCGGCUAGGGGGCCAUCCCGGCUUACCAACCCGAUGCAAACUGCGAAUACCGGAGAAUGUUAUCACGGGAGACACACGGCGGGUGCUAACGUCCGUCGUGAAGAGGGAAACAACCCAGACCGCCAGCUAAGGUCCCAAAGUCAUGGUUAAGUGGGAAACGAUGUGGGAAGGCCCAGACAGCCAGGAUGUUGGCUUAGAAGCAGCCAUCAUUUAAAGAAAGCGUAAUAGCUCACUGGUCGAGUCGGCCUGCGCGGAAGAUGUAACGGGGCUAAACCAU
rnacentral:rRNA from 2 species